UACGUAGGUGGCAAGCGUUGUCCGGAUUUACUGGGCGUAAAGAGCGCGCAGGCGGUCGUUCAAGUCGCGUGUGAAAGCCCCCGGCUCAACUGGGGAGGGUCACGCGAUACUGAUCGACUCGAAGGCAGGAGAGGGAAGUGGAAUUCCCGGUGUAGUGGUGAAAUGCGUAGAUAUCGGGGAGGAACACCGGUGGCGAAGGCGGGUCUCUGGGCCGAUACUGACGGCUGAGGAGCGAAAGCGUGGGGAGCAAACAGG
rnacentral:rRNA from 1 species